AAAAAGCAGCCAACACCAAUGACGGAAGACAUGCUUCACGAGCUUAACAAAAACCACAUGAACGGAGUCGAUAAUUAUGGUGCUUCGGAGGACAUCUAUAACAUGGAAGACGUCUGGAAUGAUACGAGCAUUAAAAAGCGUUCCUCGUACGAGACGAGCAUGUCGAACCUCUACGACAGCUGGCGAUCUGAUUGGCAUGGCUAUAGUCACUAUUACGACGGCAGCAGUCACAGCGGUUACACGCACCGACCUCCGCGGGCCGACUACCUUUCCAGGCACCCGGACUACGAUAACGACUUUUGAUUUCACCCUUUCGAGUCGACUCUUUAAGACUGUUCUGCAUUGCCAUUAUUUUCUUCUCGACUUAAAUCUAAAUAUUCAUACCCGAAUGCUUGCUUCAAUCUUUACGUAACAAGGCUGUACCACCUGCAACCCCCCUUCCCCGGAUAAAUAAAUUUGAAAACAUAAAUAUGAAAAUAGAGUGUGCGAGCAUCACCUUAAUUGUUUCUCAAUGCUGAGAAUUGAACUUAACUCUGCUCUCAGUUUUGCCGCUUCGUCAUAAAUUUCCAAUAUUCUCUUUGUUUUCUUUUCUCAGUGAAGAAGACCAGAUGUAUUCUCAUUCUCGAGAAUUUGCGCGAUUCUUAUUUGAGGAUAAUUUUAAAAAAGGAUAAAAGAAAAAAAAUUAUUUUGCAAAAAAUUGAUCGAUUUUCUUACAAGUAAAUAGAGAGCAAGUGUUUUGGAAUCUCGCGUUGGGCUACACGGUCUAGUAGGCUCUAUUACCAUUGAUUUGUUAGGAGGGAUUCAUUCAUUUAUUUUUUACUUAUUUAUUUUUAUUUAGCUAUUGGUCCUUUCUUUUUUGAGUAAAAAAACCCGUCCGCCCCUCAGUUAUUGGGUUCCAAAAUUCGCUCUGAAAAAAUUUCUGUAGAUUUUUCAAAUUUUAACUUAUUUCCUCCAAAAUAUAUUAUUUCUUAAUGAAGUUCACAUUCGAUUCGUCACGCACGGCCCCAUUUCAGUUCUGAAAAAUUAAUCAGUUGAUUUUUUUGCAAUGUUUUUAUGAGGUUCAAAAAAAGAAGCUCGCAAGGACGUAAGAGAAUUUAAUUUAAAUUUAAUUGUCUCUUACUACAUUAGUGAUACACUUUAAACCUGCAAAUGCCUAGCUCCUUUUUAUUAAAUUUCUUUCUCACGCAAAUGGGUCAGUGCUUUCAGAGACGAAGUGAGUAUCAGUUAUCACAUUGUGAGCAUCUACGCUCUCAAACCUCCUUAAUUUCUGUUCUUUUUUUUUAAUUUUUUUUAUUGAAAUGCGAAAGCUUCUAAGAUUGUCAUAAUAUGUAAAUAAUGUUUUGUGCCCUUUAUUAGUAAUGAGUAUUUGAAUGUAGUUGUUCUAUGCGUCUACUUCAAUAUGCUUUUAAAGUGUAUAUGAAGCUGUGAUAUUUAUUACGUAUUGCCUGUUAUAUUUUCUUUGAUUUUUUUGAGGCUCAAAGACAAAAAAAUUACAAGAUUAGAAUAUGUCACAGACUGAUAUGAAAGAAAUGCAAAAAUUGCGUUUUAAAAAAAAAGGUUCAUGUGAAAUAAAUUCGAGACUCUCCACUCGGAGGCUUGGAACCCGCAAGCUUCAUUCAGGAGUAUCGCCGUACGUAUAACGUAACGAGCGUAGCUUGUUCACUGGAAUUCCUCCCAUCCUCCUGGAUCUCACUGUGGAGGAACCCCACUUUUCAUAAUACUGUAUUAAUAUUUCACAAUAUUAUAAAGAUACCAAUAUCUUUCAGGCUACGGACGACGUGUUUCGUGAAUGAUAACGUUUAUUCAUCAUGACGCCAUAUUGUAGUCUGUCAUAUUUGUUAAUGUUGAUUUAAUGUAAAUGGACACUUUUAUAAUCGAAGAAUGUGACUUAUUAAACAAUGUAGGGUUAGUUUAUUUUUAAUUGCUCCAGUCCGAGUAAAUUGAGAUAGAUACCUGGUAACGACCAAGUUUGAUAAUAUCUGCUCGCAGUUUGCUGUGGAUAGCAUUUCUUUCUUGCGUAAAAAUAACUUAAGCUGUAUGAAUCGAAAUUAUCGACUACUGCAAAAUAAAAACCAUCAACAUCCUAGAUAAUACUUGAAAAAACAGUAACUCAAUAAUUAAUGAAUAAAGAAGGUGUUACAGUACUAUUAAUACUGCCAUUAUAGUUUUAAAAGUGUGUAAUGACAAUGACAUAAUGGCAUCAAAGACGGGGAAUUUCUGUCAAACUGAAUCUCUCUUGGAACUACCCCUUAAAGACUGAGAGAGAAAAUUCAAAGAUUUUGUUCCAAAAAGGCAACUUUUUUGCAUAUAAAAGUGAAAUUCCGCCGAGGAGUCCAUGGUGAACUAUGCAAACUUGAAAUCCGCCAAAUUUAAGGGCCAAGAAUCACUAAUCGAUGAAUUAUAGUAAAAUAGCUUAUUUAUUUCUAUACACUGUUUACUCUUCGUCACAGUAUUCGCCCCAUUUUUAAAAUCUUCAUUUCAGCAACAUUUUUUCAAGAUAAUACAGCAAAUGGUUAAUACCUCAUCUGAGUUCAUACCUUUGUACAUAUCCAAAUUAUUUUUUCUUUCAAUGAGAUUUCAACAUUUUUACGGAAAAUUGAAAGAAAAUAAACCAGUUGUUUAUUUAGAGAAUAUAAUGAGAUCUAACGGAAACUUAUAUUGUUUGCAGUUGAGAUGAGCAGAGCUCCAGAUGCGCCAUUAAUAAUGUUUUCGGCACAGACUUGUCCCAGGAAAUAGUGCCUAAAAAUUUGUAAGAAAAAAUAAUGUUUGAUAAACAUUUGUACAGUAAUAUCGUAUUCUUUGUCUGCUCAAUUGUACAGUAACUUGCUGUAAGUGUUUGUAAUUUUACUUUUUAUUUUUCAUCUUUUCAGAAUUUGUUUAAGAGAGCGCUUGUGUAAAAAAUAUAUGACCUACAAUUAGGAAAUGUGUCUAGUGUAAAUUCUUCGUAGAUUUAUUUUAUGAGAAUGUAGAGAAAAAACUUACUUAGAUAGAACUGUUGUAAAUUAACGUUUCAACAAACGGUUGAAUGGUAGCCAGAUGGGAAGGAGGUGCGAUAGAUUCACUCAAGAAAGAGAUGCUUUCGUCGUUUAGGUGGAAGACAAUAAUUUACUUUUUCCUUCAUGGAAGGCGAAAGUCAUGUCUAAUUGCGUAGUUUUGUCAUCAUCUUUUAAAUACUUUUUAAUUUUUCAAUGAUACACGACUAUUCUUCCCUUAAUCUAAUAUCGACGGUUAAAUAACCAGACCACGUAUCUCGGUUUGCGACGUCGCAGACUUCCCGUCUUACUUUAUUUUUUAGAUGGAAAGCCUCACAACGUCAAUUCUUGAAAAUUGUGAAACUUUUGAGGAAUGAUAUUGGUUUGUUCUUCUUCACAAAAAUAAAAUGAGAGCGUAAAUUUUUUAACACCGCAAACGAGAUACGUAGUCUCAUAGUUUCACAGUCGACACGGCUGUUGCACAGUCUGUAAUUUGAUUUUAAAAUUAGCUGUGUUAAUUUAAUGGUAUCUAACGGUGCGUUUUGUUCCCGCCAAGAAUCGAAUUCUUAAUGUAGUUUUACGGUAUUGGAAUAGAAGAGGGAGAAUUCUCGUGCAACAAAUGAACAUGUUUCUCCUGAAUUGCGCACUUUUGGGCUCAAUUUUACACUUGGCGGAUACCUACGAUUCUCUCUGAAAGACCUCUUACCCCUCAAAAUAUCCUCCUCUCAGUAUGUAGGAAAAAAUUAAACACCAAAAGAAAGUAACAUUUUAGAAAUAACUGGAACGUAAUUUAACGCACCACGACGGAUCUACACCAAUUAAGUCGCGUUUUAUACUCUAUACAAUUCUGUCUAUCUGGCAUAUUCAACCGUUUGGAAAUACUCAUUCCGUGUUCACUCUAGUCAAAUUUUACGUCGAUCUUUUGACGCAGGUCAAUCACAUUUGAUCGCAUCCCUGUAAGUUUAAGAUUUUUGUGAACACAGAGAAGCGUGUAAUUCUGUAUGAUUUUAUUUGUACGGAUGUAUCGUCCAUUUAAUGUUUAAUAUUGUUGUUAAAUAUCCUUUUUAAUUUGUUUCUAAUUUUAAGACUUUGUAAUUUGUAUAGCCCUUAGGUAUUGCUAUCGAAAUAAAUCUGUCUGAAAAUUUUACGGUAUUGCAAUCAGUCUUACUUCGAUUACACAAUAAGUACUUUAAAUCAUCUCACGAAUAAGUGACUGAUUUUAAGUUCACUGAGUUUUUUUUAAUACUUGUAUUUGAGAAUAUCUUCAGCAUGCCUCCGUUGCCUCCCCAAAAAUUGGUACUCAAACAUUUGUAAUUAUGAUUUUCAAUUCCCAACAAAAUUCAUUACAAAUUAAGUCAGUCAUAAUAGGCUAAACUUGGGAGGAAAAACUUGAAAAUUCAUCAGUUUAAAAGAUAUGAUGAAACUACACGAAUAUGUCUACAUCUCUAUUGGAGAGAAAUAUUUUGCUUGCUCCACAUCUCAACAAACUGAGGUUUCCGAAAGAUUAACCCCCCCCCCCUUAAAGUUUGUCCUCGACUUUUUAACGCCUUGAUUAUUUGAAUAAUAUAAGGAGAACUUAAUUUGCAGUAUGAAUUUGCCUCUGGAAAGAGGUAAUGGCCUUUGAAAUUUAAACUUUAAAAAAAUCUAUUCCAAUUUUCAGACAUUUUCCAUUUCGAUCUUUCUCAGCAGAAAUAAAAAAAAGUAAAUGUUUAUAAUUUUUUUCACUGUUUAUUUGUUCUUGGAAUAAAUAUUAAUUUUCAAGUAUAAGUUGUAAUUCAUCU
rnacentral:lncRNA from 1 species